AGAUAAAACACAGGACCAUGCAUUACUUUGUAUGACAGAGAUAGGCAUUAAAAUCUAAAGUCUAUACAUGUCUUUGUUCAGAGCACACCCUGACUAAUAAGACCACCACAUCUAGAAUAAAAACAGUAAAGAAUCCCAAGGCCAAAGCACACCCUGAACAUUAACUUGCAUAUUGUUGGCAACAAAAAAGUAGAACUACCAAAAUCAACCCAAUAACUAAUUAGGCCAAACACUAUAGGAGGCAAACAUGUUUAUAGCUGACAAUAGUUUGCAUUCAUAGGGACAGCCGAUCUCUAACUUAGUACCCUAUAUUGUACAACCAUGCAUCUCAUCUCAAAGACCAUUCAGGUUUAUUCAUGUCAUGCUUGAAAUAUAUAUCUGUUACUACAUGGACAAACAUUGGUAUGAGAGAGAAGAAAUCUUUACAUAAGAGACAGAAGAGUUCCUAACCAGACUAAAUCAAGGACCAAUGACGAACAAUAAAAGAUCAAGAACAACUUAUAUGCAAUAAAGUUAUAAGUGAGAAUAAAUCUUUACACAAGACGGCUAUAAACACUGGAGCAUAAGUAAGCAACGCCUUUAAAUACAAAUAAAAAGGGUUUGAUGUUCAUUGCAUAGUGGGCUCAGAUUCGCCUUUCCUUGAUCAUAUAACCUACCCCCAUCAUCUCUUAUCACCAGAUCAAUCUGUUUAUACAAUGGAGCUGCCCUGGUUAUCAAUCAACAAGAAUGACCAUCCAAGGACAGAUCAAUAGGUAUCACAGGAUUAAAAAGGAUUCUAGAGACAACAGGGAGGAUCCAACUUGAUACCCACAGGUACCUCGAUUGCUCAAAGGCACACUUAUUUCAGCCACAGUUAAUCAUCAUCGCCCUAGCACGAAAGCCACCGCCACAGACAAAGCAAAAUGAUGAGAAUACCCUCGGCGGGGCACCAAAAUAAUGCGCGGUGGAACGAAACGGAGUGAAACUAUUCAUUCCAGCAGUGUUUGUCCCAGAUCCAACGGCCCAGGCUUCUCCAGAGCUCGAUCGGACGGACGAGAACGCAUCAAGGGAAACGAUCCGACGGCUGAGAGUGCCUAAGCUCUGAGAGAUCUUGUAGGAGCCUUCUUCUCUUAUUUCUGGAUGUCACAUACAGUAGCCAAAGCAGAGGAACAGGAGGAAGAUGGAGCUCACCGAGGGAGGUUGUAGCCGAGGCAAUACUCAGUGCGCGCC
rnacentral:lncRNA from 1 species